rnacentral:rRNA from 1 species
GAUGAACGCUGGCGGCGUGCCUAAUACAUGCAAGUCGAGCGAACAGACGAGAAGCUUGCUUCUCUGAUGUUAGCGGCGGACGGGUGAGUAACACGUGGAUAACCUACCUAUAAGACUGGGAUAACUUCGGGAAACCGGAGCUAAUACCGGAUGAUAUUUUGAACCGCAUGGUUCAAAAGUGAAAGACGGUUUUGCUGUCACUUAUAGAUGGAUCCGCGCUGCAUUAGCUAGUUGGUAAGGUAACGGCUUACCAAGGCAACGAUGCAUAGCCGACCUGAGAGGGUGAUCGGCCACACUGGAACUGAGACACGGUCCAGACUCCUACGGGAGGCAGCAGUAGGGAAUCUUCCGCAAUGGGCGAAAGCCUGACGGAGCAACGCCGCGUGAGUGAUGAAGGUCUUCGGAUCGUAAAACUCUGUUAUUAGGGAAGAACAAAUGUGUAAGUAACUGUGCACAUCUUGACGGUACCUAAUCAGAAAGCCACGGCUAACUACGUG